rnacentral:lncRNA from 1 species
UUAUCCAAGGUGGAGCUUGGAGUCUGUUAAAUGACCUUUAUUGUCUGUGCCUGCUGAUUGAGCACCAGCUAAAGUUUCCCCGCUCUCACUCUUGGGCAAGUACCAGCACAUACUGUAGCUGCUUUGCAACCUUUGUUCAAGCCUCUCUGAGUCGGACUUGUUCAGUUUUUUGAUGUUAUUAAGCAUAAACGUGCACACAUGUGGCCAUUUUUCCAAACAUGAAUUCACUCUUCGCUCCUGCUUUGCCUCAAGGUCCCACAUCAACAAAUGUUCUGAUUCAAGUUCAGUGCUGUGUUUUACUGCAAACCCUUCAAUCUGAGUCAUUAUAGCCCAGAGCCAGUAAUGGUAUACAGUUACACCUCUGUAAUAGAGAGGUAAAUACCGAGGCAGAGUCCUGGGUCUACAUUAAAUGGGCCUGACCAUCUGUGAAGAGGAAGAACAGAUUAUUUAAAGAGUUUACAAGUUUAUUUUCUUUUAAAAAAAUCCGUUUCAUAGCAGCAGGGAAGCCUGUUCUGACAAGCAAAGGGUUAACAAGGUGAAACUGUCUUGCGUGCAGCUGUAUCGUGGGUAAGCUAAUAUCCCCCAGAUCUCUGUGUUGCUGUAACGCAGAAACUCCCACUGGCCCAGAAGACUUCACUUUGGAUUUCAUUUUACAGCGUCGUUGAGGCCACAGCGCCCUCCCACGGGAGGCGCUGAUUGGUCGAGAUGCCUGCUGGAAUAUUUAAUCAGACACCUUGCUCGCGGCUGUGAUUGGACACAGCCGGUGCAGUUAUGUAAAUGAGCACCUGGUGGCGCCUGCUGGCCCGGCUGCUGAGCCCGGACUGUGGAGGAGCGGCUGAGAGAGGGCGCAGAAUCAGAGAAGGUCCGAGAAGCAGAUACACUUUGCGUGUUUUCCCCCUUUUAUCUUAUUAUCCCCAUUCCAUUAACCACAGGCUGAAAAAUAUUCCUCUCAAGUGAAAGUCAGCCUGCGGGUGUGAAAUCAGCCGGUGCGCGCAGCGCGUACGGAGUAUUGCGCUGUUUUCUGAGUUUUGGUGGAGGUCGUUCACUAAACUCAGCUGCUGCUCUCGGAGGUCAGUUUGGAUUAUUCGGUGGACGCGUGUUGUAUUGAGCACAAUUCACCACAGAGUUCAUCCCAAAGUUUGGACCGCUGUCACAGCACACUUCUGCCUGUCUUUUAGGUAUGCCUUUGGUCGUCAGUCUGACUCCCGACAGGUAACCAGGCGUGUUGCUGCUCUCAUGGCCUCGACAACCCUGCGAGUGUUCCCUGUCGCUGUGGUCACCAUCCUGGCAGUGCUGGCGUCGUCUGCAGAGAAGCAUGAGUGGCACUUCGAUCCAGGUGGGAUGUCAUCUAUACAUGUGUAGAGCAGAAAACAUCGUGUCCUCAGUUUGAAUUUGUUUUUGUUUGUGUCCUAUUAUAUCCCCCCAAACUCAGACAUGAUUGCAUUUUCAAACCUGUUACCCUCUUCCUCUCCUUGGGCACAGCAAACGCCUUCCCCGCUGCUCUGAAAUUCUCCUCACAUUCUCAGAUCAGUAAGGCUCAUUCUCCAUCCACUAUCAACAGGCUAUCCUGUGUCCUCUCCCUGUCUGCCAGCCAGUUGUGUGAAACAGGAGAAUAAGAUAGCUAGGCAGCCCCCCCCCCCACAACCGCCAGCUUGUCAAGACCGCUAAUGCACAAGCAGUUCGUGAAAGUGUCAGUCAAAAUGUCGGGGAAGGGAAUGCAUGAGGAGUUAGUGAAUGUGUGCCAGCCAGGUGUAACCAGAGGAGGGUGUUUGCAGGGCGGUCAAACUUCGGACUGCAGCAGCUGCUCUGCGAAUAAGAGCAAAUUUGUAACUGUCGUUACUCUCUUAAUUAUACAUUAAGUAGUGUUUAAUUCAUUAAUUAUUCUUGAAAUUAUCUCCCUGCUGCCAGCAUGUGACAUUUAAGCAAUAUUUAAGCUGAUAUAAAACAACAAAAACUGAAACGCAAAAACUUUUUGCUUGAAGUUGCUUAAAUGGUACCCAAAUUACAACUGAAACAAGUAGUCCAAUUAUUAGACAUGACAUUUGCAUGGGCGGUAUCUUGAUUAGCAUUGCUCUGGAUAGCAAAACAUACUCUAGCUGUGCUGUUCUGUCCUGUACAUUAGCCACAAGUCUUUUGGUGCCAGAAGAUUUAGAUCUGUGGUGGACCUGAUUGGAUGCAGGUAAACAGUCCACAUAGUUUUUAUUUUUUUGUUUAGUAUCUGUAUUCAUAAGAAGUCACCGGUGCAGGGAAAAGGAAAUCUUGGCCCAGAGAUCUGCUGGCAUCAUUGAAAGUAAAAA